UCUGCGUUAUUGUAAUUCAUUUGGGAAGCAAUGAUAUAAAAAAAAUUUUUAAGAGCAGCAAAAUUUGGAAUACAGUUCUGUAAAGUACAGGACCUGUUUUAUGCUCAGGGUAUGGUUGAGAGGGGAUCGAUGAAAGCUUUUUGUUUACUUCUAUUCUUAUACUUUCAUGAUUUUGAUAAAAUGUUGGAAUUGUGCCCAGGAUGAGGCAUUUGUUUUUAAAUACGCCUCUUCAUUUCCAGGGUCCAGGAGGUUAUCUUUCCCAGGGAGUUUCAAGUUGCGGGGGGCGAGGACGGGGGUAUGACCCCUGUACUUAAAGUUGAGUUGGAGAAAGUUGGAUUUAAAUUGGCAAUGCAAAGAUCAGAGGGCAUAAUAGAGUGUUGUGACAAUGAACACGGAUUUUAAAAUGAGAUUGCUUGGGUUCAAGAUGCAUGUGACCUUAGGUGUGUAUUUUAAUCGUUUGCCUCCAUUUCUGUAUCUGUAAAAUGGAACAGAUAAUCACCGUGUAAUACUGUAAUGAUUAGCUGAGUUAAUGUGUGGGGCCAGGUAGUCUUCACAACAAUAUUACAUGGUGAUUACUUUUAUUCUUCUGCUUGGCCAGAAAAGUUAGCUUUUCUUAAAAUUAUUUCAUGGCCCAUUAAUUCAUUUAUGGAAGGAAAAAGAUAGUGUCCGCAACACAUAGGAUAUCCUCCUAAUUGCUUCGGCUUUAGGCAGUAAACCAAAGCAUGAAGCCUGCCAUGGUGAUGUGAAGGAUAUUUGGGCAGCCUGACCAAUAAUGGGGAAGGUGAUAGACACCAAUUUGGGGACCUGGUUUCAUGUUAAGACUCUAUCCUCACAAACUUUGCCUUGUUGUAAAGUCAGUUAUGUUCUGUGAAUCUGUUAAACUGAGAUUAAAAUUACCUUUCCUGUGGAUUUCUUGUGGAGACUAAAUGAAAUAAUAUGUAUAAAAGCACCUUUUACCAACAAGAUAGG
rnacentral:lncRNA from 10 species